rnacentral:rRNA from 1 species
UGGGGAAUAUUGCACAAUGGGGGAAACCCUGAUGCAGCCAUGCCGCGUGUGUGAAGAAGGCCUUCGGGUUGUAAAGCACUUUCAGCGGGGAAGAAGGCGUUAGCGUUAACAGCGCUAUCGAUUGACGUUACCUGCAGAAGAAGCACCGGCUAACUCCGUGCCAGCAGCCGCGGUAAUACGGAGGGUGCAAGCGUUAAUCGGAAUUACUGGGCGUAAAGCGUACGCAGGCGGUCUGUUAAGUCAGAUGUGAAAUCCCCGGGCUUAACCUGGGAACUGCAUUUGAAACUGGCAGGCUAGAGUCUCGUAGAGGGGGGUAGAAUUCCAGGUGUAGCGGUGAAAUGCGUAGAGAUCUGGAGGAAUACCGGUGGCGAAGGCGGCCCCCUGGACGAAGACUGACGCUCAAGUACGAAAGCGUGGGGAGCAAACA